GCCAGUGAUAGCAGAGAGAUCGAGAUGGAGAGGUGGCAGUGGUUCUUACCGUGAGCACUGCGAUUGCCCUAGAUCGGAAGGGAUUUCGGUGGGGAGUCUGGCGGCACGGUUAACCUUGUACCGUGUGCCCCGGCCCCCACCUCUCUAUAUAUCGCAGGUCACAGGGGCCCACCAACAAUAAGAGGGUUGCGCGCCCCCGAUCAGGGCGCGAAUAGAUCAGGGCCCGAUGGGCCGUUGAGCCCACUCGGUGGAGAGAUCAACCUAAUAUUCUCCCCCUUGAUCUUAACUUUUACUUUUAACCUUAUACUUUCUUGUUUAUUUGUUUCAUCACAUAUUGGUACAUAGAGCAUGUUUCAUCGUCACAACUUAAUUGCCGUUAGAAUCAUACAGCUACAACAUACGUUAUGAUCAGAAGCAAAUUCUGUUCCUUUUCGGCCUAUCCAGGAAUCAUAAGGUUUUCCCUUAAACCCAUGCUGGCUAAGUGUUCCUUGAACACAUUGGGUGGUAAGGCUUUUGUUAGCGGAUCCGCAAGCAUAUCCUUUGUCCUUAUAUGCUCGAGACUUAUAGUUUGAUCCUGGAUUUUAUCUUUCACAACAUAAUACCUUAUCUCUAUUGUUUUGGCAGCAUUACUCGACUUGUUGUUGUGAGCGCAAAAUACUGCUGGUUGGUUGUCGCAGUACAUCUUUAGUGGUUUGUGAAUACAAUCUACCACUUUCAAGUUGGGUACAAAUUUCUUUAGCCAUAUCGCCUGCCCCGUGGCUUCGAAGCAUGCUAUGAAUUCUGCAUACAUCGUGGAUGCUGCAACUAUCGACUGUUUGGAGCUUUUCCACGAAAUAGCUCCCCUAGCGAGAGUGAAGACGUAUCCUGACGUGGAUUUUCUAUCAUCUCUGUCCCCCGCAAAAUCUGUGUCUGAAUACCCUUUUAUCUCUAGGGAAUCACUUCUCCUGUAUAUUAGCAUGUAGUCCUUCGUGCCUUGUGCAUAACACAAUGCUUUAUUUACCAUCUUCCAGUGCUCCAUGCCUGGAUUCUCUUGAUAUCUACCGAGUACCCCGGUGAUAAAAGCUAAGUCAGGGCGAGUGCACACUUGUGCAUACUGUAAGCUGCCAACUGCCGAAGCAUAUGGUACUGCUUUCAUUUGAUCGAUCUCGUAAUGGUUCUUGGGACAUUGGAAUUUCCCAAAACUAUCGCCUUGACUAUAGGAGCAGGUGUGGCUUUACUCGCAUGCAUAUUAUACUUUUUAAGAACCUUUUCUAAAUAUGCUUUCUGCGAUAGUCCUAAGACUCCAUUGUUCCUAUCUCGGUGAAUUUCUAUGCCCAAAACAUAUGAUGCUUCACCAAGAUCUGUUAUGUCAAAAUUUGAGGAUAAAUAUUUCUUUGUUUCUUGUAGUAGACUAACAUCACUACUAGCAAGCAGGAUAUCAUCCACAUAAAAGAUUAGGAAAAUAUAUUUCCCAUUUUUAAGCUUUGCAUAAAUGCAAUUAUCCUCAAUGUUUUCUUUAAAUCCAAAACUUUUAAUCGUUUGAUUGAACUUUAGAUACCACUGUCGAGAGGCUUGUCUUAAUCCAUAAAUGGAUUUCUUUAGGCGGCAUCCCAUAUUUUCCUUGCCUUCCAUGAUAAAACCCUUAGGUUGUUUAAUGUAGACAUUUUCUUUUAAAUCACCAUUCAGAAAUGCCAUCUUAACAUCCAUUUGAUGUAACUCUAAAUCAAAAUGAGCAACUAAUGCCAUUAUGAUUCUGAAGCAAUCCUUACAUGAGACUAGAGAAAAUGUCUCAUUGUAAUCUAUCCUUUCUCUUUGUGUAAAUCCUUUUGCCACGAGUCGUGCUUUAUACUUUUCUAUAUUCCCUUUAGAGUCAUACUUAAUUUUGUAGACCCAUUUACAGCCUACUGUUUUGGCUCCCUUAGGAAUUUCCUCUAAGUCCCAAACAUCUUUGGAACUCAUCGAUUUCAUCUCUUCUUCCAUUGCCUUCAUCCACUUCGAUGAGUGAGAGCUUCUCAUGGCUUCUUCAUAUGAGAUGGGAUCUUUUUCCAUAUGAACCAUUUCUGUGUUAUAAACUUUAAAGUCAGUAGAAAUAGCUAACUUUCUUGGUCUUGUAGACCUUCUAAGGGCCUCGCUUUCUGGCACAUUCCGUGCCUCAACUUCUGGCACUUCUUCUAAAAUUUUUUGUUGCACCUCCCUUUGAUGCUCAACAACGGGUUCAGUCGGCUCCUGACGGACAGGUUCCGGGUCUGCUCCCAUAAUUGUCAUGGGUGGAGUUGCAACUGGUAGUGAGAAAAAUGGCUCCUGAAUCAUCGGAUUAGGUGCAUGCACCCUCUUCUCCUCAAGAUCAAUUUUCCAAGCUACCAAGCUCCCCCUCAUCAUUUCGUCCUCAAAGAAGACUGCAUGUCUCGUUUCUACAAACUUUGUAUAUCUGUCUGGGCAGUAGAAACGAAAACCUUUUGAUCUGUCUAGAUAGCCAAUGAAGUGGCAACUUACUGUUUUGGGAUCUAACUUUGCAAUGUUUGGAUUAAACAUUUUGGCCUCAGCAGGGCACCCCUACACCCUGAAGUGGUGUAGGGAGGGCACCCUUCCUGUCCAUAGCUCAUACGGUGUUGUGGGCACCGACUUGCUUGGUACUCUAUUGAGAAUGUGAAUGGAGGUUUUAAGCGCCUCCGUCCAUAAUCCCAAUGGUAAGUUGGAAUAACUCAUCAUGCUGCGCGCCAUAUCCAUAAGUGUACGGUUGCGCCUUUUAGCUACACCAUUUUGCUGAGGUUCACCCGGCAUUGAAUACUAGGCGACUAUGCCAGUCUCCUGUAAGAACUUUGCAAAAGGUCCAGGGACUUGGCCAUAUGGAGUGUGCCGACUGUAGUACUCUCCCCCACGGUCGGACCUUACUAUCUUUAUUCUUUUAUCAUGCUGAUUCUCAACUUCAGCUUUGAAUAUUUUAAAUUUAUCCAACGCUUCAGAUCUUUCUUUGAUUGGAUAAAUAUAACCAUAGCGAGAGUAAUCAUUUGUGAAUGUUAUGAACGAGUCAUACCAUCCACACUUUUCAUCGGAAAUGAUCCACAAAUGUCAAUGUGGAUGAUUUCUAGUGUGCUUGUGCUAUGGAUUGCACCUUUUUUUGAUUUGUUUUAUAUACUUUCCUUUAAUGCAAUCUACACAUUGUUCUAAGUCUGAGAAUUCUAACUGUGGAAGAAUUUCACAUUUGACUAAUCUUUCUAUUCUCCCCUUUGAAAUAUGGCCCAAACGAUAGUGCCAUAAUUUCGAUGAGUCGAAUGUUCUCUUUCUUUUCUUUUGUUCUUUAUUCGACGCGGAAACAUGUUCAUUCACAUUGCAUACAGAAUGCACUUUUUCAUGAAGUGAUAACAAAUAAAGCUCAUCAUGUAGUAAAGCAUUACCCACAUAAGCAUUAUUAUACCAGAUGGCACACUUGCCAUGUCCAAAAUAACACUCAUAAUUUUCUUUGUCCAAACAUGAAACACUAAUUAAGUUUCUAUUACAUGAAGGAACAUAAAGAACAUCUCUAAGUAGAAGAUUGAAUCCAUCAGCUAACUCCAAGGAAAUGUCGCCGACAGCUUCAACUUCCGCUUUUAUUCCAUUGGCUACUUCAAUGCCUCCUUCUCUUCUUAGCGUAGUCCGGGUCGAAUGGAAUCCCUGUAAACAAUUUGCAACAUGAACAGUUGCCCCUGAGUCAAUCCACCAAGUAGAUUUUGAAAACUGUGUGUACAAGGAUUCAUUAACUAAGAAAACAAUGUUGUUACCUUGCUUUGCCAUUAAGGACUUUAGCCAAACAGGGCAGUCUUUCUUGUAAUGCUCGGUCUGCUUACAGUGGAGACAAGUGUCUUUGUCCACUGGGAAAGACUGUUGCUGACGCUGAUGCUGAUAGGGAGCUUUUCCUUGUGGCUUUGAAGGAGAACUUUUGUUGUUUUGAUUGUAGUUCUUUUUCUUGUGAUCCUUCACAUAGUUGAGUGUACCACCAUGUGAGGCUUUUAGUCUGUCCCCUUCUUGGACACACAUUGCAAUUGUCUUUUCAAUGUCCCAUGUUCCAGGUGACAUAUUAUAGUUCACAACAAAAGUUUCAAACUCCUUUGACAGUGAAGCCAUGACCAGGUGGACCAGAAGCUUUGGUUUGAUCUCCAGAUCCUCAUCCAUGGGCUUUAGCUUUGCUGCCAUAUUGCUCAUCCUGAGGAUGUGCUCUCUUAUUCCACCACCUGUGUAUUGUUCUGUCACAAGUUGUUUUAACACCUGGGUGGCAUAUAUCUUUGAAGAGCCAGUGAACUGGUUCUUUAUCUUUGUCAGCAACUCCCCUGCGGAAGUGCACUCUGCAAUGGAGCCCACAAUGGUGCUCUCAAUUGUAUUCUUUAUAAAGGCCAUGCAUUUUUAUUUGCAUUGACCCACUUUUGGUUGUCUAUGAUGUAGGACAUAUCCAAAGGAGCAUAAUCCCCCCUCUUUUUAGCCCAUGCAGCAUCAUCAUCAGUAGUCUCUUUUACUGGCUCUGUAGGUAUGACCGGCUGUGGUUCAUCCAGAACCCAGUCCAGAUGAGCACAAACAAAUGCCAGUUCAACUUUCUUCCUCCACUCAGUGUGGUUGUCACCUCUGAGUGUCGGAACUUCUUUUAGGCAACUCAUCAAGUGAAAGCCUCCUGAAAUCACAAUUUAAGUGACAUCAAUAUAACAAUCAUAUGCAUUAAUCUAACGUUGGUCAAAUUAAACAUAUAAUUGUCUAUGCAAUUAAAUCUAUAUUACCGUUGGGCAAAAUAUUAGAAAUAAAUGCACCUUUAAAUUUCAAUAAUAAAACAUGAUCAUGUUAUUAAACAACGUUGGUCAUAAAAAAUAACAUAAUCAUAUUCAUUCUAAUAAUCACUUUAACAUGCUCUUAAAAACAUAAUUCUAUUUAAACUUUUAUUUUCUUUGUAAAAAACACUAUUAAUUAUUUACGCAGCGGAAAAACAUGAAUAAAAAUUCAUGAACUUUUUACUUUUUACGGAAACUUUUCUUUGACCGAAUAAAAAUCAUGAACUUUUCUAGUUCUACAGAAACUUUUACUUUAUAAAAUACAUGAACUUUUCUUUUUCUGGAAAUUUUCUAUUCUUUAAAAAACAAAAAAUAGCAGCAGCACAGCGCCGGCGUGCCCUCUCGACCGGCCCACGGCCUGCUCGCGCGCUGUACGCACCUGUCCUGGCCGAAGACGGCCCAGCCUCUGAAGGCCUAUCCGGCUCGCGCGCGCGGCUGCCGGCCCAGCAGCUCAGCUGGCCAGCGCUUUCGGCCCAAAAGGCCCAGCUGUGCAGCGACGGCUUAGGUUUUUAAUCUCAGCCAUCCACUGAGAUCCAACGGCCACCCGCGGAUCUAGCCUGAACAAAAACAGGUUCACAACGCCAGCGGGGGGAAACCCUAGUUCAUUCGCCCCCAGCCCCCACGCCUCUCCCUGCAUCUCUCGCUCCGUGAUGGCGGAGCCAAGGAGCUUUGCUCCGGCCGCCCGGUCCGGCCGCCGGCGUCGGCUGCCACCGCGCCGCGCGCGUCUACUCUCCCUUCCCUUUCCCUUCUUCUUUCUUUUCCUCUGUCCUGUCGGGGAAAAAGGGCAGCGCCCUUCUUGGCUGCUCCGGCCGCCGGUGACGGCGGCGAGAGCCACCGUGCCCCGCUGUGCUCUCCUUUUCCCUUCCCCCUUCUCUCACCCAUCCACCACCUCCUCCUUCCUGCAGAAAAAGAGAGACCCGAGAGGUCCCGCGCCAUCAAACGCAGCGCCCCCGCUGACCCCUUUGUCGGCGUGCGCGAGCACCACGAGGGUAAACGCGCCGCCGUCAAACGGCUUGGUGGUGGUGCUCUUUGCCCCUGAAAAGGGGUGGUGUUCUUCUUCUCGAUGCCUCGGCUUGCCGAUGCGCAUCGAGAUCAAGAGGAACGGCGUGGCCUUGCGGCGGCGCUACUUUUUUCGUUUCUGUGAAGGAUUCGUUCUUUGCCCUGUCUAGGGUUCUUGGGGGAGGGGAUCUCUUUUUCUUUUUCUGUUUUUGUUUCUUUGUACCAAAAUCAUCUAGCCAGUGGCAUCUGAUACCAUUGAUAUAUCCUUUGGAUCGGGGUAGGCUAGAUCAUCCGGUAAGCAUACCUUCUUUGGGUGCGGAUGAGCUCGAUCCAGCGCCGGCCAUGGUGAAGUAGGGGCCGGUUAUAGCAGAGAGAUCGAGAUGGAGAGGUGGCAGUGGUGCUUCCCGUGAGCACUGUGAUUGCCCUAGAUCGGAAGGGAUUUCGGUGGGGAGUCUGGCGGCGCGGUUAACCUCGUACCGUGUGCCCCGGCCCCCACCUCUAUAUAUCGCAGGUCACAGGGGCCCACCAGCCAUAAGAGGGUUCGGCGCCCCCGAUCAGGGCGGGAAUAGAUCAGGGCCCGAUGGGCCGUUGAGCCCGCUCGGUGGAGAGAUCAACCUAACAUUCCCGACGUUACUGCGACGAAGCUCCGAACUUGUUGGUACGCAGUGGCAGCACACUCUCCGCAACGAUGACCCAUGAUCUCUGUAUUUGUAAGUAAGUCGAUAACUUCCAACUCCCAGUCAGUUCUACUUACACCACUCUCAAGAUUUACUAACACCUUGCUGGCUAUGCAGGUCGCCGCAUGGAGUGGAAGGCAUAUAUGCGGUCCAUGCAUAUGCCUGCAGUGGAUCUGCCCAACACACAUAUGUUCAUGCACCACGAUAUUCAGAUUGCAAAACUAUUUCGUUUAUGGCUUUUGAAUGACAAAGCACUUGCUCGUGGUGUAAGAUUGAAUUGUGCUAUGACUUUAUGCGUUAUGCUUUCAAAUAUUGUAUGUAUUCAAUUGGUGUGAGCUCGUAAACUAUAAUCGACACUGUCUAUUCCUGUUGUGCGUGUUGAAUAACUCAACCAUUUGUGUGCAAGAAUUUUUCCUGGUGUAUGGCAUUUAUAUAAUUUAAUUCAUCUGCAAAUCUCAGUCUCGGUAAUGGAUGCCCUAUUAAGCAUUGAUGUGAAG
rnacentral:lncRNA from 1 species